AGGAUAAACGCUGGCGGCGUGCCUAAAACAUGCAAGUCGAACGGACCCUUCGGGGUUAGUGGCGAACGGCUGAGUAACACGUGGGUGACCUGCCCUCGAGCGGGGGAUAACUGCCCGAAAGGGUGGCUAAUACCGCAGACAUCUAUCUUUCGGUAGGUAGAUUGAACCGUUAGGGUUCGGGGAGGGCCUGCGGCCGAUUAGCUAGCUGGUGGGGUAAUGGCCUACCAGGGCAUCGAUCGGUAGCUGGUCUGAGAGGAUGAUCAGCCAGACUGGGACUGCGAACGGCCCAGACUCCUACGGGAGGCAGCAGUUAGGAAUUUUGGGCAAUGGGCGAAAGCCUGACCCAGCAACGCCGCGUGGGUGAUGAAGGCCUUCGGGUCGUAAACGCCCUUUUCCCAGGGAAGAUAAUGACGGUACCUGGGGAAUCAGCCCCGGCUAACUACGUGCCAGCAGCCGC
rnacentral:rRNA from 1 species